rnacentral:rRNA from 1 species
UACGUAGGGUGCGAGCGUUAAUCGGAAUUACUGGGCGUAAAGCGUGCGCAGGCGGUGCUGUAAGACCGAUGUGAAAUCCCCGGGCUUAACCUGGGAACUGCAUUGGUGACUGCAGCGCUGGAGUAUGGCAGAGGGAGGUGGAAUUCCACGUGUAGCGGUGAAAUGACGUAGAGAUGUGGAGGAACACCGAUGGCGAAGGCAGCCUCCUGGGCCAAU